AUCAGAAUGCGUGUUUCUGCGUAAUUCUGCGUAAUCCUGUACACUCUUUACACUCCUGGUAAAUGCAUUAUAACAUACCAACCAGAUUUUAGGAUAGACUUAAGUAAUGCCGUGAAGUACAAACUUUAUACAACUGCCGAGUGUGAUAUUACGAUAAUUAGUCAAUUUUUACUUAUUUAUUUGUUUGUUUAUUUAUUUUUUAUUUGCUACCAUUAUAUACAGUUGGAAUUCUAAGAAAAAGCAGUAAUCUUGAAUUCCAACUGUUUCAAGUAAAUAAAAUGUCACUGAAAGUGAAAAUAAGUAUUUUAUUUUAUGUUUUCUUUUGACUUUUAUGAAUUUUAUUCGUGUAUGUGAUAUCCCGUCAUUUCAUUGUCAUCAUCAGCUUUUAUUCUCUUAAAAUCUGAUAACAUGUAAUUCUAUAUCUAAUAUAUAUCAUUAUCAAAUAAAGAUACUUUCAUUAGA